rnacentral:rRNA from 1 species
AUUUAACGCUGGCGGCAGGCCUAACACAUGCAAGUCGAACGAGUGGCGGACGUGUGAGUAAUGUCUGGGAAACUUCCCGAUGGAGGGGGAUAACUACUGGAAACGGUAGCUAAUACCGCAUACCAUCGGAUGUGCCCAGAUGGGAUUAGCUAGUUGGUGGGGUAACGGCUCACCAAGGCGACGAUCCCUAGCUGGUCUGAGAGGAUGACCAGCCACACUGGAACUGAGCCACGGUCCAGACUCCGACGGGAGGCAGCAGUGGGGAAUAUUGCACAAUGGGCGCAAGCCUGAUGCAGCCAUGCCGCGUGUAUGAAGAAGGCCUUCGGGUUGUAAAGUACUUUCAGCGAGGAGGCGUUACUCGCAGAAGAAGCACCGGCUAACUCCGUGCCAGCAGCCGCGGUAAUUC